AUUGAACGCUGGCGGCAUGCUUUACACAUGCAAGUCGAACGGUAACAGGGAGCUUGCUCCGCUGACGAGUGGCGAACGGGUGAGUAAUGCGUCGGAACGUGCCGAGUAGUGGGGGAUAACGCAGCGAAAGUUGUGCUAAUACCGCAUACGUACUGAGGUAGAAAGUGGGGGACCUUCGGGCCUCACGCUAUUCGAGCGGCCGACGUCUGAUUAGCUAGUAGGGGAGGUAAAGGCUCACCUAGGCGACGAUCAGUAGCGGGUCUGAGAGGAUGAUCCGCCACACUGGGACUGAGACACGGCCCAGACUCCUACGGGAGGCAGCAGUGGGGAAUUUUGGACAAUGGGCGAAAGCCUGAUUCAGCCAUGCCGCGUGUCUGAAGAAGGCCUUCGGGUUGUAAAGGACUUUUGUCGGGGAGGAAAUCCCCAGCGCUAAUACCGCUGGGGGAUGACAUUACCUGAAGAAUAAGCACCGGCUAACUACGUGCCAGCCGCCGCGGUAAAAC
rnacentral:rRNA from 1 species